GACACGUUCAUCAAAAAACAUGUUUUCUGUAGCUCUGUUAUUGCUCUUAGCCACUUCAUGUGUGAAGUGUGAACAGCUGACACAGCCAGCCUCAGAGACUGUGCAGCCAGGUCAACGUCUGACCAUCACCUGUCUGGUCUCUUAUUCUGUGGGCAGCUACUACACAGCUUGGAUCAGACAGCCUGCAGGAAAAGGUCUGGAGUGGAUUGGGAUGGCACGUACUGGAUCUACAACAUACUACAAAGAUUCACUUAAGAGCAAGUUCAGCAUUUCCACAGAUUCCUCCAACAACAGAGUUACUUUAACAGGACAGAAUAUGCAGCCUGAAGACACAGCUGUGUAUUACUGUGCCAGAGAGUCACAGUAA